rnacentral:lncRNA from 1 species
UCGGCGAUCCGGGGUCUGGGCGCGGCGAGGGUCUGGUGUGGCAGAUGUGGAUAGCUGGACCCUCCUGGGUGCCUCUGCGUUAUGUCGUUUGGUUGAUGCAUUUGGAGAGAAUCUGUGCUCUCCACAACUGCAGGGGCAACAUGCUUUCCUGGCCUCUUCAGAUCAGGGUGGCUGUUCUUGGGUGCUGCACCAAAACUCCAGCAGUGGGCUUUCUUCAAGGUGGCCGGCUCACCUCAUUCCUGCCAAGACCCAGGUCCGUGUUCUCACAGUGCUGCCAUCUUUCCUCCGUGUGAGCGUGGGCUGUGCGGAGAGUGGACCUCGGUGUGUGCGGGGCUGCGUGCACUGCCAUCGCUCCCUCUACACGAGCCGGCGUGGACCCAGGGCUGAGCUGUGACCACGAGGGCCAUCCCGACGAGCCGCCAUGGACCCAGGGCUGAGCUGUGACCAUGAGGGCUAUCCCGACGAGCUGCCGUGGACCCAGGGCUGAGCCGUGACCAUGAGGGCCAUCCCGAAACUGUGAUUGUUUUCUGGAAUGUGGAAGCGUCGGCCGAGCGCGGUCCUUGGAGAACCCUUGCUGCGGAGAAUGACGCUCACUCUGCGGCCUGGCCUCGCCUCCCCAUCCCUUCUGCAAACUCACAGGACAGGAUUGAUGGGGAGAGCCCAGGCGAAACGAAGCUGACCCUAGUGACCAGCCCUACUGGCGGCUCUGGAACAGGCCCGGGACCGGUGGCCUGGAGACAGUGGUCCUUUCUGGAUGGGCUGCAGUCUCCGAAGGCUUCCCCCACUGGAGUCAGCCCUUUAGGAGUUUGUCCAGUGCCUCCAGAAAGCUGUUUUUUGGGGGACGGAGGACUUGGCCUGGAAUUCUGGAAUUCCCAGGGGGUCAGACAUGGUUAUGGGAAGUUUAAUAAAACCGGUGAAUCACGUGAA